UCCGCACCAUUAUUAAUCUCCAGCUGCUUUUUGUUACCCAUAAUAUGUGAAACUCUUCCGGGUAAUAGAGUGGUAGAUUUUGCCCUUCUUAUCUUGCAUUUACAUGUGAUACUCAUUCUAUAUCGUUUAAAAGAAAGAAAGAAAGAAAGAAAGAAACAGCACAGUUAAACUGUGAAUAUUUUUCCUUCAGGGCCAAGCUUUUGGUCCUGUGACAAAAGAAGAGCUUGAGAGGGCCACCUGGACUUUUCUUCAAACAAUGGCUGCCCAGGUCUGUUCCAUGGUGCACUUUGCAUUUGAUUAUCUUCGUUCUGGACUUUCGAUAGUUGGGUGCAGUGCAGGAGUUGUCGUUGGAAUCUCUUCUCAUUGUCUUUUGUUUUUCAGAAGCAUGUUUAUCAACAUUUUGAUGUGUUAAUACAUAUGGCCAUCAUCUAUAAGGUAUAAAAUACUGAUGGAAUUCGCUGCUCAAUUUAAUCAGCUGUUCGUUUUUUGCAGUUUACUUGACAUUAGAGUUUUGAUGUAUGCAAUAUGCCAUUUUCCUUUCUCAUUAUUCGUUGAAGUUGAUAUCCCUUCCUUUCAAGAAGCAGCUUCUUCAUCCUUCUCUCUGCUGAUUCGAGAAGGUAUAUUUCGAGUCUUUUGCAGUACUCGGACAAUCCAACGAGGCCGCAAAAAAGAAAGAUGUGAAAGAUUUGGCAUGUCGAUCUGCCUUGGGAGCCUUGGGAAAUUGGCAUUUCCUUGCGAGCGAGUCGAUGCAAGAUGGGGAAAGCUGGAGUGUGAGAAUUGAGCUUGUGAUGUACAAGGAACUCUCACAAAAUUUGACUAACGAAAAUUAAUUUACUAUA